CAGCUGAAAGGCAGCAAUAUUUUUAGGGAUGACCAGAGCUGAUGUCUUUUCAGAAGCAAACCAUGAUUUAACUCACUGUUUAGUCACACAGAAAGGUUCACACUGCUGCAACAGAACGCUCCACAAUUAAUUUGUCAUUUGAAGUGAGAAUAAGAACAACUUUCCAUGGCACUAAACAACAAACCAAGAUAACACUCUUCAUAUCAUCUCCAGAUGAGAGAAGGAAUCAGUUCAAGACACUGCCCUUUCCAGACAAAAGGAGUAUGUUUAUGGCUUCUGCAGUUCAUCAUCUACAAUCAAACAAGAAAUUAUAUACCAUUCUUGGCAAAAAUAAGCCAAUAUACAGUGACAUAGUUCUUUCUCAAUUAAAAAGUUACAACUUUGUGUUUUCUUGAGAAAAUACAUUUCUGAAAUCACAGCAUAUGUAACAUUUAUUGUUUUUCUUGGACAGUAAGUUAUAAAGAAGUAGCUUAUGAAUCAGUAGCUAGAAGUUUUACUUCCUGGUUUUUAUUAAAUCUUAUGCUAUUUGCUCCUGAUUUAGGGCCCAGGAAAAGCAAUUAUAACUUGCAUGCACCAACUUGCUGAGUUACUGAGCCAGUUUAUCUUUGCUCGUCUAAACAAAGGACUGUAAAGCAUAAAAAAGUGAUUUAAAGAAUUUUUGCAUUGAGAUGUCACUUUGAACUCUUAUAACCACAGAAAAUUGUACCAUAUCUCAAAUUUAAAACAAAGUAAACCAAAAAACCUCACCACAAUUUUCUUUUCCUGUGAAAUUUUCUGUCAUAAGAAGAUAUGUUCAGAAAGGUCUAAUUUUGAUAUGACAUUUUCUCUAAGAGUGUUCUGCAAAAACACUUAAGAAGUUUCCUGAAACUGGCACAAGGUUUUGUUUUAGCUGCCUAAGUUAGAUUACAGCAAGUCAAACACUCUGGAUGUUUCAGAAAAAUAUGCUGAUGGGUGAACCUAUCAAGAAAGGAUUUACCUAAAUGCUGUUCUCUCAAGAUGAUAGUAGUAAAUGACUCCUUUGUAGGAUGGCUAUUUCAAAAGCCAAAAGUUGUUACACUACAUAUAUAAUGAUAAUGAACUGUUAGAAAACUUCCUGCUCACUAGGAACUUUGAAUAAACAGUUAAAUCCUAAGUUAGCUCUUCA
ensembl:lncRNA